rnacentral:rRNA from 1 species
AAACGACUCUCGGCAACGGAUAUCUCGGCUCACGCAUCGAUGAAGAACGUAGCAAAAUGCGAUACUUGGUGUGAAUUGCAGAAUCCCGUGAACCAUCGAGUUUUUGAACGCAAGUUGCGCCCAAAGCCUUUUGGUUGAGGGCACGUCUGCCUGGGCGUCACAC